rnacentral:rRNA from 1 species
GACGAACGCUGGCGGCGUGCUUAACACAUGCAAGUCGAACGGAAAGGCCCUGCUUUUGUGGGGUGCUCGAGUGGCGAACGGGUGAGUAACACGUGAGUAACCUGCCCUUGACUUUGGGAUAACUUCAGGAAACUGGGGCUAAUACCGGAUAGGAGCUCCUGCUGCAUGGUGGUGGUUGGAAAGUUUCGGCGGUUGGGGCUGGACUCGCGGCUUAUCAGCUUGUUGGUGGGGUAGUGGCUUACCAAGGCUUUGACGGGUAGCCGGCCUGGGAGGGUGACCGGCCACAUUGGGACUGAGAUACGGCCCAGACUCCUACGGGAGGCAGCAGUGGGAAAUAUUGCACAAUGGGCGGAAGCCUGAUGCAGCAGCGCCGCGUGCGGGAUGACGGCCUUCGGGUUGUAAACCGCUUUCGCCUGUGACGAAGCGUGAGUGACGGUAAUGGGUAAAGAAGCACCGGCUAACUACGUG